rnacentral:lncRNA from 1 species
GGGGCCUGAACUUUUCGUUACUUUGAGGAAGUCUAUUUUCUCCUACUAGUGUUGGGUUCCCCCUCAGAGACUGAGGAUUUUUGACAAGAAUUUUCUUCCUCGUUGAGAUGAGAUCCCUUGUGUCUUAGAUGUAGUUCGUUUAUUUCUUAUCUGUGGCGUAGCUCAUCACUUUCUCUUUUUCUCUCCCUCUUUUUUUUAUGUUUGGGUGAG